GGAUCUUGGAGAGCAUGGGUUCCUAGUCGAAGGGAGCUUGAUCACAAGCAAAUCUAAUGCAACUGUCUCCAUACCAUACAAGUACCUCGUCUACAAGCUUAAAAAGCAAAAGUACGAGUUUGAGUACAUAUACAAACUGGAUUCUAACUACCCCACCACCAACAGAUGUCUUUUUGUCAAAUCUCAUCUGCUUAAUGAAGAAGGGGACUGGCAUCAGUAUGAUGACAUCAUCUGUGUGGAGCCAUCCAAGAACGUGCUCAAGCGGCUAAAAGACGCUUUUUGGCCGGAACAAAGGAAAAGUGUCAUUGAAGGCCGAGAAAUUGCAGGGAAAGUUAUGCUGGAGAGUAUAUUUGACCUCCUCAGGAGCUGGACUGACAUUAACUUCAAGAGUUUCCUCAAUCAGCUGAAUCAGUUUUACCAGAUCUACGGGAACCCGUUUGUCUAUGAGGAGACACACAAGAAAUGGUACUCCUUAGACUACGACGAAAAAGAUGUAAGUGAAAUUCUUAAUGUCUGUUUGGCCUUUGCUUGUUUUGCUGUCUCCUGCCCUGCCUCCCCUCUUCUGAUUUAUCCCAGUUAUUUUGUUGCUGUUAGAAGUGAAAUGAGAGCAAGCAUUUCGCUGUGUCUAUUUGCUUGACUUGUAGAAAAGAUGACACCCACUCAUAUGAUUUGAACUCUGCCCAAUAAACGUGCGGACGCUGCACAAUGCUGUAAAUGUAUUGAGGUAAUAUUGUGUGGGAAUGAUCAUUUCUAUAAUGAUUGAUGUUGUUUUUUCACAUGUAUUUUUCAUUUGGUUGUCUUAUUGUACAUUCCUUUUGUAUGUGGAAGGGAAAAGCAAAUGGAUGAGUGUUGAGUUGCAGUGUGCAACCAUCCCCAAAACAAAUCUGUUAACAUUCACUGUUUGUUCUGCCUCCCCAAGGUCAGGAAGCUGCUGAAGCAGUUCAUGCUGGAUAACGUUGUUCCUCAGCUGCAGAAGGAGGGUGAGGGGAAGAGCUGCUUCAUCCAGGACCCCAUGAGGGCAGCUGUGGUCAUGCUGUACGCGUGGAAGAAGUUCGGCCUCAAGCUGGACCACGGAGAGUCCACCCGGCUCUGCAGCACCCUGUGCUUGCCCAAGCUGCCCAAAGACUCCUUUCUGCAGUACUGGACCGACUUCGCCCAAGCCGUCUCCGGUCUCAAAAACCUGCCAGACAUGUUGGUGGCUCUGAUCAACAGUGUGAAGACUGAAGGGCCCCGGUGGAUUUUGGUGCUCCCCCUGCUCCACCUCCUCAAGGGAUCCUCCAAACCGUUCACACCCAUAUCUACCACAGUCACCCCCAAGUACGAGCAGUCCUGGGCGGGCCUCCAAGGCCUCAAAGCAGACUACAUGACACACAACAGCCAGGACAGGAGAGCGAUGUUGAAUCUCAUGAAAAACAAUGGCCAUCUGGUUGAGGUGGACAGACUAGUGUCUCGGUCCUGGAUGUGUCUGCUGACCAUAGAGGACUUGGUGGAAUGCAGCAUACUCAUCAACGUGGAACUGCUGGACCUGCUCCAAGUCUUCACUCUGAGGGCCCCUCAAGAUGUCACCUAUAGCAACAAGCAGUAUGUGUCGGACACUCUCUCACAUAUUCAAAGCAAUCUCAUCGAGGAGAAAUACAGUUGUUUUAGUGAGGCGUAUGGCAGAGAGUGCUUGGCAACUGCAGUGAAGCUUCUUGAGAAGAUCUGCAAAGGAGUCCGAUCCACUUCAACCUACACGCAGAACUUCACAGACAUCCCUGUGGCAUGCAUGAACAUGGUUGUCUCAAUAUCUGAGUUUGCCCGGGCCUUUGAGUCACAGGUAUGUGGAGUUCAAGUAGAAAAUGUCUGAUGACUCAUUUAGACUUUGCCCAAGAUAAGCGGUUGGCCAACAGUAUGUAUGUACUGACUCUCUAGAUAACAAGGUUAUUUAUUAAACAGAAAACACAUUAAGAAAGACGUCUUUGAAUCUGACCACUAUCUUCUAUUUCGGGGAAUUUUCAGGGAUGUCACAAUACUAUAUUAUCAUAAUACAUAGGUGCCGAUACGAUAUGUAUUGGGAUUCUAUAUGGAUCAUGAUUCUUUACUGCGAUUCUAUGUUCCAAACAUAUUGCUCACUAUAUGUCUGCUGCAGAGCGAUAAGAGAGAGCAGGAGAACAACGAGUUUUGAUCAAGUCGGGGAAAUAAUAGUUUCAAAACAUGUUGGUUCACUAUUUAAAAAGAAGAUGGAGAACAAGCUCUAAAAGGACAAAUACCAGAGUUUUGGUGCAAGUCCAUUCUAGAAGUUGUAUUUCUAUGGUUGAGACAUUUCCGAAAAAGGAUGGAAAUAACUUAUCAUUCCUUUCAAGGCAACUAAGGAUGUGGAAAGAGAGCAUAUGCAUGCCAAGGAGCUGGAUCUGCUAUCCGGAACUGACUAGUUCAGACCAUAGAACAAUAUUUACUAGAACGGACAUUCCCAUUUAAGUCAAUUGUCUGUCAUGGGUGGACCGGUGGCCAUAUUGAGUGUACCCAUGAGUGUUCCAGACAAAUUGCUGUGGUUUGAGGGUCUUUGUCCAUUCUAGUAGUUGUAUUUCUAUGGUUGAGACAUUUCCGAAAAAGGAUGGAAAUAACUUAUCAUUCCUUUCAAGGCAACUAAGGAUGUGGAAAGAGAGCAUAUGCAUGCCAAGGAGCUGGAUCUGCUAUCCGAGGCGAUGGUGAUCGUCAGAUCCUGGAUCGGCACAACCUUCAGAGACCGGUUGCUAGCCAGGAGUGUGACCACCUUGUACCUCAGUGUAAAUGUCACCACAGAGAUAGAGGUGAGAAAAUGAUUCAUUUUUGUUGUGCAAAUCGUGAUUUGUAUUUUUUCAUGUGUAGUUCCGGAUUGUUUGUUUUUUUACUGACUGCUCUUUUUUUAUUUGCCAGAUGUGGAACAACAUAAUCUCUCUCAAGUUCGCCAAUGACGAUUUCACAAAAGAAUGGAGACAAACGUUCACUAGGGACUUGGAGGGCAAAUUGAAACAGGUAUGAAACUUCCACACAUACAGUAGAAUUGAGAUCAGACUGAAAUAUCCAUUGGUGAAAUGACUGAAAUACCUUUUCUGCACUUCUAGGAGUCUCCUCUGGAUCAGAUAGAGAUCUACUGUUCCAAGAUUGAGGUCCUGAAUGAAUCUCACCCUCACGUAGCCAAGACUAUCGAGAAAUGUGCCCUAGAAGCUGUCACCUCACUGUGCCAGGUAAGUAGACUGGUUACACUUGACUUAAAUACAGAUUCAAUAUACAGUACCAGUCAAGUUUGGACAAAACUACUCAUUCCAGGGUCUUUCUUGAUUUGCACUAUUUUCUACAUUGUAGAAUAAUACUGAAGACAUCAAAACUAUGAAAUAACACAUGGAAUCAUGUAGUAACCAAAAAAGUGUCAAACAAAUCAAAAAGCUGUCAUCAAGGAAAAGGGUGGCUACUUUGAAGAAUCUCUACUUUAAAAUAUAUUUUGAUUUGUUUAACA
rnacentral:lncRNA from 1 species